rnacentral:rRNA from 1 species
UACGAAGGGGGCUAGCGUUGUUCGGAAUUACUGGGCGUAAAGGGCGCGUAGGCGGUGUGUCAAGUCAGGCGUGAAAGCCCCGGGCUCAACCUGGGAACCGCGCCUGAGACUGGCACGCUGGAGUUCGGGAGAGGAUGGUGGAAUUCCCAGUGUAGAGGUGAAAUUCGUAGAUAUUGGGAAGAACACCGAUGGCGAAGGCAGCCAUCUGGACCGACACUGACGCUGAGGCGCGAAAGCGUGGGGAGCAAACAGG